CUCAGAGCCUUGGCACUUGUGAAGCAGGCACAGUGCCACUGAGCUAAAUUCCCAGUCCAGUUUUUCUGGAACACCUGCCAUGUUUGGAGAGCUCCAAAAACAUAGGCUGCCAAGAGGAAGAGCAGG
rnacentral:lncRNA from 1 species